rnacentral:sRNA from 2 species
CCCUGCCACCGGCCGAGCUCCACGGACAUCCGCACGGCAGGAGCGGGGGACCCACUUCGGGCGUCGGUGACGACGUCCUUGGGGUGAAGCCGGACGGCCCGUUCUCGGGCACGGACGGCCGGGUGUUUCUCCCACCCGAACCCGACAGCUGACCUCGCAGGCGACAGGAGAGGUAGA